GAUGAAGAACGUAGCGAAAUGCGAUAAGUAAUGCGAAUUGCAGAAUUCCAGUGAGUCAUCGAAUCUUUGAACGCACAUUGCGCCCUUUGGUAUUCCGAAGGGCAUGCCUGUUCGAGCGUCAUUAUCACCCCUCAAGCCCUCGGCUUGGUGUUGGACGGUUUGGUGGAGGCCCCCUCGGGGGCUCCUGCCCCUCCCAAAGACAAUGACGGCGGCCUCGUUGGACCCCCGGUACACUGAGUUCUUCACGGGACACGUAUCGGACACAUGGGUUUACGGGACACGGUCUGCCUCCCCUCAGGGAGAAUCUUUCUAGGUUGACCUCGGAUCAGGUAGGGAUACCCGCUGAACUUAAGCAUAUCAAUAAGCGGAGGA
rnacentral:misc_RNA from 1 species